AACCCAUGAUAAGGACACUCCCUAAUCCCUAUAGUAGUGCUUAAACCUCUCCCACGCUUCAUGGAAUGACUCUGUGCCUCCCUGUUAGAAACUACUGAUCUUAUUCCUCAGGAU